GUGAUGCCCAUCUCAUAUCAGCCAGGGACAAAGCAACUCCUUGUUCAUCCCAGCUUGGCUUUUGAUCCGUGCCCAUGCCUGGUUCAUGCCUUGGACACAUAGUUUUCCUUUAAAGAGGUGGUAUUGUAGCCAGCUUAUACUUGCAUCUACAGCCAUGUUUCUAGUCCAGCUUGGUGUGCAAUACUAGAUGAGUUAAUAACUGGUCCUUGUUUCUGAUCUGGUUCCCAUUGUGUAACUGUUGAUUGGGAAGGUAGUUUGUGAGCCAUGAAAUGCUUGGUUCAUUGGUUGCUUAUUGACCUCAUUAACCUAGGACUUGAAUAUCCCAAAGGGUAUGCUCUUUACCACAUUCAACUCCUAAUUUAUUUGUUUAGGUUAUGAUGUGAUUGCUCAAGCCCAAUCUGGGACUGGGAAAACGGCCACAUUUGCCAUAUCGAUUCUGCAGCAGAUUGAAUUAGAUCUAAAAGCCACCCAGGCCUUGGUCCUAGCACCCACUCGAGAAUUGGCUCAGCAGGUAAGAGUGGCUUCUAUUCCCUCCUUCAGGGCUGAUUUAGGGAUGAUGAGUAUAAUCCAAGGACCAGAGAAGUCUUCUCUGAUCACCACCUUGGGAGGAAGACAUGGGUGCCCUAACACUCUCGAGACCUGCUGGGUUAAUUAAAAGCUAUUUCUUACCCAAACGUAACCAUUGCUUCCUCCACCCAUUUCCUGAGUCAAAUGGGAAGGCUGUUGGGUGAAGCCUGGCUGGCUGGGCAAGUUUGACUGUGUUCUGAAUAAGCACCUUCACUAUGGGCUAAGAGAUACCUUGGUGGUGGGGGUGAUCUUACAGUAGUCAGAGCAGAUGGACAGUCCUUUUCACCCUUGCUAAUGGCCAGAGCUGUUUCAUGCCUGGGGCACACACAAUUCUAAUGCUGGACUUUUUCCUGGGUCAUGCUGCAACACUGAUGUCAGAGCAUGUUUUUAAAUGUUCUGUGGCGGGGGCAGUGAUUAUUCUGGGUGUGGAUAAUGUAAGAAGUUACAGCAGAGCUCCAUUCUAAGGCACUUGGCUCUCAGUUUUCUCAGAGUGAACAUGCCUCGUAGUUUGGGUCCUAUGGCAGGAGUGCAAUAGGACAUGGAUAUGCAUCACCUGUUCUACAAAACUGGUUGCUGGCUGGGCGCAGUGGCUCACUCCUAUAAUCCCGACACUUUGGGAGGCCAAGGCAGGCAGAUCACUUGAGAUCAGGAGUUGGAGACCGGCCUGGCCAACAUAGUGAAACCCCGCCUCUACUAAAAAUACAAAAAUUAGCCAGGCAUGGUGGCGUGUGCCUUUUAUCCCAGCUACUCGGGAAGCUCAGGCAGGAGAAUUUAACCCAGGAGGUGGAGGUUGCAGUGAGCUGAGAUUGUGCCAUUGCACUCCAGCCUGGGCAACGAGCAAAGCUCUGUCUCAAAAAAAGAAAAAAAAA
rnacentral:sRNA from 1 species